AGUGAACGCUGGCGGUAGGCCUAACACAUGCAAGACGAACGGCAGCACAGGAGAGCUUGCUCUCUGGGUGGCGAGUGGCGGACGGGUGAGGAAUACAUCGGAAUCUACUCUGUCGUGGGGGAUAACGUAGGGAAACUUACGCUAAUACCGCAUACGACCUACGGGUGAAAGCAGGGGACCUUCGGGCCUUGCGCGAUUGAAUGAGCCGAUGUCGGAUUAGCUAGUUGGCGGGGUAAAGGCCCACCAAGGCGACGAUCCGUAGCUGGUCUGGGAGGAUGAUCAGCCACACUGGAACUGAGACACGGGCCAGAGUCCUACGGGAGGCAGCAGUGGGAAAUAUUGGACAAUGGGCGCAAGCCUGAUCCAGCCAUACCGCGUGGGUGAAGAAGGCCUUCGGGUUGUAAAGCCCUUUUGUUGGGAAAGAAAUCCAGCUGGCUAAUACCCGGUUGGGAUGACGGUACCCAAAGAAUAAGCACCGGCUAACUUCGUGCCAGCCGCCGCGGUAA
rnacentral:rRNA from 1 species